AGCGAACGCUGGCGGCAGGCCUAACACAUGCAAGUCGAACGGACCCUUCGGGGUUAGUGGCGGACGGGUGAGUAACACGUGGGAACGUGCCUUUAGGUUCGGAAUAGCUCCUGGAAACGGGUGGUAAUGCCGAAUGUGCCCUUCGGGGGAAAGAUUUAUCGCCUUUAGAGCGGCCCGCGUCUGAUUAGCUAGUUGGGGGUGUAACGGACCACCAAGGCGACGAUCAGUAGCUGGUCUGAGAGGAUGAUCAGCCACAUUGGGACUGAGACACGGCCCAAACUCCUACGGGAGGCAGCAGUGGGGAAUCUUGCGCAAUGGGCGAAAGCCUGACGCAGCCAUGCCGCGUGAAUGAUGAAGGUCUUAGGAUUGUAAAAUUCUUUCACCGGGGACGAUAAUGACGGUACCCGGAGAAGAAGCCCCGGCUAACUUCGUGCCAGCCGCCGCAGUAAAAC
rnacentral:rRNA from 1 species